UACGUAGGGUGCGAGCGUUUGUCCGGAAUUAUUGGGCGUAAAGAGCUCGUAGGCGGCCUGUCGCGUCGGAUGUGAAAGCCCGGGGCUUAACCCCGGUCUGCAUUCGAUACGGGCAGGCUAGAGUGUGGUAGGGGAGAUCGGAAUUCCUGGUGUAGCGGUGAAAUGCGCAGAUAUCAGGAGGAACACCGGUGGCGAAGGCGGAUCUCUGGGCCAUUACUGACGCUGAGGAGCGAAAGCGUGGGGAGCGAACAGG
rnacentral:rRNA from 1 species